GACGAACGCUGGCGGCGUGCUUAACACAUGCAAGUCGAACGGAAAGGCCCUGCUUUUGUGGGGUGCUCGAGUGGCGAACGGGUGAGUAACACGUGAGUAACCUGCCCUUGACUUUGGGAUAACUUCAGGAAACUGGGGCUAAUACCGGAUAGGAGCUCCUGCUGCAUGGUGGGGGUUGGAAAGUUUCGGCGGUUGGGGAUGGACUCGCGGCUUAUCAGCUUGUUGGUGGGGUAGUGGCUUACCAAGGCUUUGACGGGUAGCCGGCCUGAGAGGGUGACCGGCCACAUUGGGACUGAGAUACGGCCCAGACUCCUACGGGAGGCAGCAGUGGGGAAUAUUGCACAAUGGGCGGAAGCCUGAUGCAGCAACGCCGCGUGCGGGAUGACGGCCUUCGGGUUGUAAACCGCUUUCGCCUGUGACGAAGCGUGAGUGACGGUAAUGGGUAAAGAAGCACCGGCUAACUACGUGCCAGCAGCCGCGGUGAUACGUAGGGUGCGAGCGUUGUCCGGAUUUAUUGGGCGUAAAGGGCUCGUAGGUGGUUGAUCGCGUCGGAAGUGUAAUCUUGGGGCUUAACCCUGAGCGUGCUUUCGAUACGGGUUGACUUGAGGAAGGUAGGGGAGAAUGGAAUUCCUGGUGGAGCGGUGGAAUGCGCAGAUAUCAGGAGGAACACCAGUGGCGAAGGCGGUUCUCUGGGCCUUUCCUGACGCUGAGGAGCGAAAGCGUGGGGAGCGAACAGGCUUAGAUACCCUGGUAGUCCACGCUGUAAACGGUGGGUACUAGGUGUGGGGUCCAUUCCACGGGUUCCGUGCCGUAGCUAACGCUUUAAGUACCCCGCCUGGGGAGUACGGCCGCAAGGCUAAAACUCAAAGGAAUUGACGGGGCCCCGCACUAGCGGCGGAGCAUGCGGAUUAAUUCGAUGCAACGCGUAGAACCUUACCUGGGUUUGACAUGGAUCGGGAGCGCUCAGAGAUGGGUGUGCCUCUUUUGGGGUCGGUUCACAGGUGGUGCAUGGCUGUCGUCAGCUCGUGUCGUGAGAUGUUGGGUUAAGUCCCGCAACGAGCGCAACCCUUAUUCACUGUUGCCAGCACGUUAUGGUGGGGACUCAGUGGAGACCGCCGGGGUCAACUCGGAGGAAGGUGGGGAUGACGUCAAGUCAUCAUGCCCCUUAUGUCCAGGGCUUCACGCAUGCUACAAUGGCUGGUACAGGGAGUGGCGAGCCUGUGAGGGUGAGCGAAUCUCGGAAAGCCGGUCUCAGUUCGGAUUGGGGUCUGCAACUCGACCUCAUGAAGUCGGAGUCGCUAGUAAUCGCAGAUCAGCAACGCUGCGGUGAAUACGUUCCCGGG
rnacentral:rRNA from 1 species